rnacentral:rRNA from 1 species
UGGGGAAUAUUGCACAAUGGGCGAAAGCCUGAUGCAGCGACGCCGCGUGCGGGAUGAAGGCCUUCGGGUUGUAAACCGCUUUCAGCAGGGAUGAGGCCGCAAGGUGACAGUACCUGCAGAAGAAGCUCCGGCUAACUACGUGCCAGCAGCCGCGGUAAUACGUAGGGAGCAAGCGUUAUCCGGAUUCAUUGGGCGUAAAGCGCGCGUAGGCGGCCUGUUAGGUCGGGAGUUAAAUCCGGGGGCUCAACCCCCGUCCGCUUCCGAUACCGGCAGGCUUGAGUUUGGUAGGGGAAGGUGGAAUUCCCAGUGUAGCGGUGGAAUGCGCAGAUAUUGGGAAGAACACCGAUGGCGAAGGCAGCCUUCUGGGCCAUAACUGACGCUGAGGCGCGAAAGCUAGGGG